GGAAAACGCGGGAACGCCGCAUCCGGAGCGGAUUAAACGAAAGUCGAAUAAGGCCUCAAAUCAGGUAAAAGAGGCAUUCCAGGGCGUCAGGUGGAGACCGCCGCGCCCACCAGUUGCCUUUUGAUCUCNNNNNNNNCCCGAUAGAUCGCCGCAUGGGCACCGCCCGGCUCACUGUCUACCACUGGUGUGCCGGCAUCCGACGACGUCCGGAUGGUCAUGUGCAGAGGGAUUUCACCAAG
rnacentral:misc_RNA from 1 species